rnacentral:rRNA from 1 species
UACAGGGGGUGCAAACGUUGCUCGGAAUUAUUGGGCGUAAAGCGCGCGUAGGCGGCUACCUAAGUCGGAUGUGAAAGCCCCUGGCUUAACUGGGGAAGUGCACCCGAAACUGAGUAGCUAGAGUGCGAAAGAGGGUCGCGGAAUUCCCGGUGUAGAGGUGAAAUUCGUAGAUAUCGGGAGGAACACCGGUGGCGAAGGCGGCGACCUGGGUCGACACUGACGCUGAGGCGCGAAAGCGUGGGGAG